AAACAUGUCUUUUUGAAUUAUAUUUAAAGUCUGACCUGCCCACUGAAUAAGUUUAAAUGGCCGCAGUAUUUUGACUGUGCAAAGGUAGCAUAAUCAUUAGUCUUUUAAUUGAAGGCUGGUAUGAAUGGUUGGACGAAGUAUAAGCUGUUUCAUAUAAAUUUAUGAUAGAAUUUUAUAUUUUAGUUAAAAAGCUAAAAUUUUAUUAAAAGACGAGAAGACCCUAUAAAUCUUUAUAAUUAAUAUUAACUAAAUUUUUUUGAUUUGUUUUAUUUUUUUAGUGUUAAUUAUUUUGUUGGGGUGAUGUUAAAAUUUAAUGAACUUUUAAUUUUUAAAAAUCAUUAAUUUAUGAAUAGUUGAUCCAUUAAUAAUGAUUAUAAGACUAAGUUACUUUAGGGAUAACAGCGUAAUUUUUUUUGAGAGUUCAUAUCGACAAAAAAGUUUGCGACCUCGAUGUUGGAUUAAGGUAUAGUUUUGGGUGUAGCUGUUCAAAAAUUAAGUCUGUUCGACUUUUAAAUCCUUACAUGAUC
rnacentral:rRNA from 1 species